rnacentral:rRNA from 1 species
UACGGGGGGAGCAAGCGUUGUUCGGAUUUACUGGGCGUAAAGGGCGUGCAGGCGGUUUGUUAAGUGCAGGGUGAAAGCUCCCGGCUCAACUGGGAGAGGUCCUUGCAUACUGGCGAACUCGAGGGAGGCAGAGGAAAGUGGAAUUCCCGGUGUAGUGGUGAUAUGCGUAGAUAUCGGGAGGAACACCUGUGGCGAAGGCGGCUUUCUGGGCCUUACCUGACGCUGAGACGCGAAAGCGUGGGGAGCGAACCGG